UUAUGGCUCAGGAUGAACGCUGGACGGCGUGCUUAACACAUGCAAGUCGAACGGAGUUUUUAACGGAAGUUUCGGAUGGAAGUUUAGAACUAGUGGCGGACGGGUGAGUAACGCGUGGGUAACCUGCCUCAUACAGGGGGAUAACAGUUAGAAAUGACUGCUAACACCGCAUAAUAUAGCGAAACCGCAUGAUUUUUGCUAUCAAAUAUUUAUAGGUAUGAGAUGGGCCCGCGUCUGAUUAGCUAGUUGGUGGGGUAAAGCCUACCAAGGCGACGAUCAGUAGCCGGCUUGAGAGAGUGACCGGCCACAUUGGGACUGAGACACGGCCCAAACUCCUACGGGAGGCAGCAGUGGGGAAUAUUGGACAAUGGGGGAAACCCUGAUCCAGCGAACCGCCGCGUGAGUGAAGAAGUAUUUCGGUAUGUAAAGCUCUAUCAGCAGGGAAGAUAAUGACAGUACCUGACUAAGAAGCCCCGGCUAACUACGUGCCAGCAGCCGC
rnacentral:rRNA from 1 species